rnacentral:rRNA from 1 species
UUCUAGGACCCAUCGUAAUGAUAAUAGGACGGUCGGGGGCAUCAGUAUUCAAUUGUCAGAGGUGAAAUUCUUGGAUUUAUUGAAGACUAACUACUGCGAAAGCAUUUGCCAAGGACGUUUUCAUUAAUCAAGAACGAAAGUUAGGGGAUCGAAGAUGAUCAGAUACCGUCGUAGUCUUAACCAUAAACUAUGCCGACUAGGGAUCGGGUGGUGUUUU